GAUGAACGCUGGCGGCGUGCCUAAUACAUGCAAGUCGAGCGAACGGACGAGAAGCUCGCUUCUCUGAUGUUAGCGGCGGACGGGUGAGUAACACGUGGAUAACCUACCUAUAAGACUGGGAUAACUUCGGGAAACCGGAGCUAAUACCGGCUAAUACUUUGAACCGCAUGGUUCAAAAGUGAAUGACGGCUUUGCCGUCACUUAUAGAUGGAUCCGCGCUGCAUUAGCUAGUUGGUAAGGUAACGGCUUACCAAGGCAACGAUGCAUAGCCGACCUGAGAGGGUGAUCGGCCACACUGGAACUGAGACACGGUCCAGACUCCUACGGGAGGCAGCAGUAGGGAAUCUUCCGCAAUGGGCGAAAGCCUGACGGAGCAACGCCGCGUGAGUGAUGAAGGUCUUCGGAUCGUAAAACUCUGUUAUUAGGGAAGAACAGAUGUGUAAGUAACUGUGCACAUCUUGACGGUACCUAAUCAGAAAGCCACGGCUAACUACGUG
rnacentral:rRNA from 1 species